AGGGAUUGGCAUGGGCGAAAGCCUGAUCAGCCUGCCGCGUGUGUGAAGAAGGUCUUCGGAUUGUAAAGCACUUUAAGUUGGGAGGAAGGGCAUUAACCUAAUACGUUAGUGCUUUGACGUUACCGACAGAAUAAGCACCGGCUAACUCUGUGCCAGCAGCCGCGGUAAUACAGAGGGUGCAAGCGUUAAUCGGAAUUACUGGGCGUAAAGCGCGCGUAGGUGGUUUGUUAAGUUGAAUGUGAAAUCCCCGGGCUCAACCUGGGAACUGCAUCCAAAACUGGCAAGCUAGAGUAUGGUAGAGGGUAGUGGAAUUUCCUGUGUAGCGGUGAAAUGCGUAGAUAUAGGAAGGAACACCAGUGGCGAAGGCGACUACCUGGACUGAUACUGACACUGAGGCGCGAAAGCGUGG
rnacentral:rRNA from 1 species